GACGAACCGUGCGAACGUUGUUCGGAAUCACUGGGCUUAAAGGGCGCGUAGGCGGUUUACCAAGUCCGGGGUGAAAUCUUUCGGCUCAACCGGAAACGGGCCUUGGAUACUGGUAAACUGGAGGGAGGUAGGGGCAGCUGGAACUUCCGGUGGAGCGGUGAAAUGCGUUGAUAUCGGAAGGAACGCCGGUGGCGAAAGCGAGCUGCUGGCCCUCUUCUGACGCUGAGGCGCGAAAGCCAGGGGAGCAAAGCGGG
rnacentral:rRNA from 1 species